GACGAACGCUGGCGGCGUGCCUAAUACAUGCAAGUCGAGCGGACGGAUGGGAGCUUGCUCCCAGACCGUCAGCGGCGGACGGGUGAGUAACACGUGGGCAACCUGCCUGUAAGACUGGGAUAACUCCGGGAAACCGGGGCUAAUACCGGAUAACUCUUUCCCUCACAUGAGGGAAAGCUGAAAGAUGGCAUCUCGCUAUCACUUACAGAUGGGCCCGCGGCGCAUUAGCUAGUUGGUGAGGUAACGGCUCACCAAGGCGACGAUGCGUAGCCGACCUGAGACGACGAACAGACAACGGGGGACGGAGACACGGCCCAGACUCCAACGGGAGGCAGCAGAGGGGAAGAGGGGACAAUGGGAGCAGGCCGCAGACAGCCAGACCGCGUGGGGAAAGAAGACCUCGUGGGGGUAAAGCCCGUUUGGCGAGAAAGAAAAGCAGCAAGGAAAGACCCCGUGGGUCGGAGGCAGCCCAAAGGAUAAGCACGGGCUAACGUGGUG
rnacentral:rRNA from 1 species